GAACGCUGGUGGCGUGCUUAACACAUGCAAGUCGAACGAGAAAAUUUCCUUCGGGAAACUAGUAAAGUGGCGCAAGGGUGAGUAACACGUGAAUAAUCUGCCCUCGAGAUCGGGAUAACAUGGUGAAAACUAUGCUAAUACCGGAUAAGACCACAUUUCAAAAGAAAUGCGGGAAAAGGAGUCUCAACCUUCACUCGAGGAUGAGUUCGCGCAACAUUAGCUUGUUGGUGAGAUAAAAGCUCACCAAGGCUACGAUGUUUAGCCGGCCUGAGAGGGUGAUCGGCCACACUGGAACUGAGACACGGUCCAGACUCCUACGGGAGGCAGCAGUGGGGAAUAUUGCGCAAUGGGCGAAAGCCUGACGCAGCAACGCCGUGUGAGCGAUGAAGGCUUUAGGGUUGUAAAGCUCUGUCAAAUGGGAAGAAUUAUGACGGUACCAUUAGAGGAAGCCCCGGCUAACUCCGUGCCAGCAGCCGCGGUAAUACGGAGGGGGCAAGCGUUGUUCGGAAUUAUUGGGCGUAAAGCGUAUGUAGGCGGCUAAGUAAGUCAGGCGUGCAAGCCCGUGGCUCAACCACGGAAUUGCGUUUGAAACUGCUUAGCUUGAGUACAGGAGAGGAAAGCGGAAUUCCCAGUGUAGCGGUGAAAUGCAUUGAGAUUGGGAAGAACAUCUGUGGCGAAGGCGGCUUUCUGGUCUGUUACUGACGCUGAGAUACGAAAGCCAGGGGAGCAAAGGGGAUUAGAUACCCCCGUAGUCCUGGCUGUAAACGAUGGGCACUAGGUGCAGGAGGUAUCGAUCCCCUCUGUGCCGUAGCUAACGCGUUAAGUGCCCCGCCUGGGGAGUACGGUCGCAAGCUGAACUCAAUGAUGACG
rnacentral:rRNA from 1 species